UGUUUUUUUUAUGUUUUUUUGCAUCUACUUGUUCGACUUUUUUCUUCUCAAUCUUUCCAUCUUUCACCUUAUUGCCAUUUUGCAGGGCUGUUACAAAAAGCAAAUGAAAGUACUUUGUCCUUUCUUAAAUUUACCACAACAGUUUAACACAAACAGCGUUAUUUGGUCAGCUGCACUGGGUUAAAACAACAUGUAGAUAGCAUAUACAGUGGGGAGAACAAGUAUUUGAUACACUGCUGAUUUUGCAGGUUUGCCUAUUUACAAAGCAUGUAGAGGUCUGUAUUUUUUUAUCAUAGGUACUCUUCAACUGUGAGAGAUGGAAUCUAAAACAUAAAUCCAGAAAAUCACGUUGUGUGAUUUUUAAAUAAUUAAUUUGCAUUUUAUUGUAAGCAUUCUAAUAAAAUAUUAUUAUAUUAUUAUAUAAGUAUUUGAUCACCUACCAACCAGUACGAAUUCCGGCUCUCACAGACCUGUUAGUUUUUCUUUAAGAAGCCCUCCUGUUCUCCACUCAUUACCUGUAUUACUGCACCUGUUUGAACUCGUUACCUGUAUAAAAGACGCCUGUCCACACACUCAAUCAAACAGACUCCAACCUCUCCACAAUGGCCAAGACCAGAGAGCUGUGUAAGGACAUCAGAGAUACAAUUGUAGACCUGCACAAGGCUGGGAUGGGCUACAGGACAAUAGGCAAGCAGCUUGGUGAGAAGGCAACAACUGUUGGCGCAAUUAUUAGAAAAUGGAAGAAGUUCAAGAUGACGGUCAAUCUCCCUCAGUCUGGGGCUCCAUGCAAGAUCUCACCUCGUGGGGCAUCAAUGAUCAUGAGGAAGGUGAGGGAUCAGCCCAGAACUACACGGCAGGACCUGGUCAAUGACCUGAAGAGAGCUGGGACCACAGUCUCAAAGAAAACCAUUAGUAACACACUACGCCGUCAUGGAUUAAAAUCCUGCAGCGCACGCAAGGUCCCCCUGCUCAAGCCAGCGCAUGUCCGGGCCCGCAUGAAGUUCCCCAU